CAGGAAAGGGGGUGACGUUGCCGAUCUUUCGGUUCAGCUAUCUGGAGGCAGGGGCACCUUAGACUGGGUGGGGAGAGGUGUGACAGGGCUGUUCUUCAGCCCCCGGGACAGUUACCGCCAUCGUCCGACCCCGCACUAUUAAAUCCCACACACGAUUCAAGUUUUAUCAACACAUCCGCACCAAGCAGAAACUGAAACUAGCGAAGGUUGCCUAAUGUUUUAGGUGGGGCUGGAGAGCAUCGCAUUAUGCGAAAGAGAAAUUCACCAUGCAAUUGGAACAAAUCGGGCCGGUUGGGAAUGCAUUAAAACAAACACAAAACAAAGGGUCAUGUUGUUCGCGCCGCGGUUUAAUUUGAAAGUGAUCUUUUGCAAAGCCAGGUUGUUUCUGAACUGGGCUAUCACCGGGAUCCUGGAACCCCAUAACACGAGUAUCAGUUCAAGACCCGAACUUCAAAUUGUUAAGGAAUGCGUAAACUGAGCGCACUACCCGAGGUGCGAUGCAGCGAAUCGUACACAAGAAAUCGCUCUGUGCAAUCAACGAUAUUCCCUCCGCUCUUUGCUAAUAUGUUUCCCCUAAUGAUAAUAGUGCCCGAGAUUAUUAUAAUUGGGGGAAACAGAAACAACGAGGGCCAAAUGCAUGCAGAUAGUAUAAUGACCGGUUUUAAUCACUGUCCGCUCUGCUUUGAAGUUUUUGUAAUCCUGAUUCUGAACACUGACCUAAUUGAGGGACUGACUGGUCUGAUACGAUCUUAUCAGAUACGGUCUUAUCAGCGCGUUUGAUACAUGAACGUCAUGUCUCCGCCAAUUACUAGGGCGCUGAAUUCCUCUUGAGUUGACGUUCGUGAGGGUGCUUUUCUAUUCGCGUGUAUUUGUGUGUUUCAAUGCACCACACUAAUUUCAGAUUGUUACCGGUCUUUUUUGUCCCCUGCCGUCCGUCCUUUGAGUAAACUAUCAAUUCAUGAACUUCCACCUCAUACAUUAUAAAAAUGUACUUUCUGUUGUUUUCUUACUAAUUUAGCAGUAUAGAUUCCUUAUUUUAGCUGGUUUAUUUCGGCGCAAGAGAAAUAUUGAAUAAAGUAGGCUCAUGUACAAGAUUAGAAUAUGAUAUUUUGGCUCGAAAGAUGGUCUAAUGUAACUUAUUUGUUAUAUUAAAUUAUUUGUUCUAACUGUUGAGGUCAUCUGCUAAUAGCUGGAAUGUUGACUGGCAUGUUAAAAGUAGCACAUUUAGCAUCAGAAAGACAGAUAUUGUGUCAAUUGGGAACUAGAGCUUGUCAUGAUAAACAUAACAUCAGAUUGACGUUGCCAUUUCCGUGUGGUUUUAAUAAAUGUGUUUCACAAACAGACAACUUUAUUUGACUCCUGUACAAUCUGUAUUGAGCCUAGCUCCGUUGUUUAAACAAAAACAUUUAUCAGACAGAAAUUAAUCGUAUUGAUUCCAUUAUAUUUGUAUCAAUUUAACGACAAUUGUGCAGAACUUUAAUUUUAAUUCUGUGCAUUAAUGGACCGAUACUGUUUGGCUGCAACCUGUAAUAUCCAAGCACGAACAUGUUAAAAUUAUAAUGUGUAAAACACUCCAUAGUUUGCCAGAUUUCUGAAAAGAUGUUAAGUGGGGAUAGAAAUGUAAUUUUUUUAAAUCAUAUUGGUUCUUGAAGUUUUACAAUCCUGUUAAUCACGGAUGCAUGGAAGGGAUACGUACCUUCAGGUAUAAUUUACCUUGAGCGUGGUUGCAUUCUACAUUUGGAUUUGACUAACACAAUAAAUAAUUAGUGAUACAUUGAGAAAGGCGCCAGUCCACAAACAUGUUAUUAAUAACCAGGCGUAUCCCAAACAGCUGGAGCUAUACAUAUUAUUUUAGAGUUUUAAAUCACAUUAUCCUAUUUAUGGUUUCAUUCAAAGCAGUCAUAAUCUUUUCAUGCGGCAUUAAGCGCAUGCUUCAAAUUCAAAGAACCGACCGGUAAUAAAAUGACCAUUACAUUUUGGAGGAAUGGUUAUUUCAACAUUACAUAAAUCCGGAGCUAUAAUUUUGCUGCUCAUCCCAAAUCCAUAUUGUUAUCAAUUAUAUAGUCACACCGCGUUUAAGACUGAUAACAUAUACCUCCUACAGAUGUGUUUACUGAAACAGGGAUGCAAGUGCCCCGAGUGGAAAUGUGACCAGGUGCUACUGUUCAGAUAAAUCGUGGCUAAUCCCAGCACACUGUCCACUUGGUGGCGCACUGCAGAACUACCUGGCCAUAAAUUCCCCAAAGACCAAGUGCAAAAAUAACAAAUGUGUCUUUUUUCAUGAUCUGCCCCAUUUUACAACAGUUGUUUUAUUGGCCGCAUUAUGCAUUCAUGUCGCAUCCUUAUUUUAACGUAGAUCUGUUCUGCAAUAAAUAACAACGUACACCAACUACAUUGUAUCAAAAUCAUGUAGCAGGGGAACCAUGCUUCUUUGCGGUGACUUAUCAGCACAGAAUACAAUCAACACAUCAACUGAAGCGUCAACAUUUAAAGAUGUGACUUCAACGUGGGUGCGACUACUUUAAAGUUUGAGCUUCACAGCUCUGCUGAUCCUAAUCUCGCCAAGACUUCCAGCAUGCAAUACUGAAUAACUGCCGGGAAUAUGAGCACUGGGUGAUAUUUGCAUCCUCUCAACCAGAGGCAUUGUUAGGAUCAUUGAGGGUUGAUUCUAGUCAUAAACUAGAUAUGAAAUGCAAAUAAAAUGCUGGAAAUGUUUAGUAGGUCAGGCAAUAUCUUUGGAAAGAGAAACAGACUCUUUAAGUAAAUAGUUCAAGUUAUAGGUGGCAAGGUGGCACAGUGGUAGAGUUGCUUCCUUACAGCGCCAGUGAUCCGGGUUCGAUCCUGACUGCAGGAGGUAUCUGUACGGAGUUUGCCCAUUCUUCCCGUGGCUGCGUGAGUUUUCUCUGGGUGCUCCAGUUUCCCCCUACAUUCCAAAGACGUACAGGUUUGUAAGUUAAUUUGGCUUUGGUAAGGUAAAAAAAAUUGUAAAUUGUUCCCAGUGUGUAGGAUAGUACAGUGUAUGGGGAUUGCUGAUCAGCGCGGACUCGGUGGGUCGAAGGGCUGGUUUCCGUGCUGUAUCUCUAAACUAAAACUAAACUAGAUGAUUCUAAGAACAGAUGAUUCUAAUAUCACUACAGCACAGACCAAGAUGUGGAAUUGGUUUUAAUUAAAUACUGGGAAAAUAAUCACAGGAAAACCGUUCACAGUAGAGACCUCUGUUUGUUCUUUCUAAUAUGUUUUAAAAAUGUAUUUCCUUUAUUAUUAUUUUUACUUUUCAAUAGGUACUUUUCUCAUUGUCUGCAAUGUUCCUCCUCCAACUUUAUUUUAAUAUAGAUUUUAUUUUUAUUAAAUAACAAAUGAACGAUAAAUACAGUAUACAAAGAAAGACAAGUACAUGAUAUUAGGAUGCCACAAAGCAUUGAAAAGACAAUGAAACACAUUUGAAAUGCAGCUCAUUCUGUAAUGUACGUAAAGGUAGAGAUGCUGUCUCACAGCACCAGAGACUUUGGUUCGAUCCUGACCUUGGAUGCUGUUUGUGUGGAGUUUUCAUAUUCUCUCUGUGACCGCGUGGGUUUCUGAUGGAAAUAUUUAUGUAACUAUUUCCUUGUGUAUUCUAUCUGUGUCUGCACAAGAUUGUUUACCGAAACUGCCUAGGGCACAAGUAAUUGACAGGUCUCGGUCAAGAGAUUAAGAGUCUAUCACAGAACUUGCAGAACGGCUAAUCUUGCUCCUGUGUAACUUUCCACAGCUAAAUGUUAUUUCCUUUGAAUUCUGAGUGUCCUUGUUCAUUACCAUUUGUCUGGAUGCUUUUUUGUCUAAAUCAAUGUAUAAAAGAGAUGGUUUUCAGCAUUAGCUCAGAGAGGACUCCCACAGACACUUGGGCUCUGUGUGACUCUCUCUCUCACAAUAAAGUUCGUUCAGUUUCAACCUC